GCUUUCGUGGUGUAACGGUAGCACACUCGGCCGGUAUUCGAGAGGUGCAGGUUCGAAUACCGAUGAAGGCA
rnacentral:tRNA from 1 species